AUUGAACGCUGGCGGCAUGCCUUACACAUGCAAGUCGAACGGUAACGCGGGGCAACCUGGCGACGAGUGGCGAACGGGUGAGUAAUGCAUCGGAACGUGCCCAGUAGUGGGGGAUAGCCCGGCGAAAGCCGGAUUAAUACCGCAUACGACCUACGGGUGAAAGGGGGGGAUCGCAAGACCUCUCGCUAUUGGAGCGGCCGAUGUCAGAUUAGGUAGUUGGUGGGGUAAAGGCCUACCAAGCCUACGACCUGUAGCUGGUCUGAGAGGACGACCAGCCACACUGGGACUGAGACACGGCCCAGACUCCUACGGGAGGCAGCAGUGGGGAAUUUUGGACAAUGGGCGCAAGCCUGAUCCAGCCAUGCCGCGUGCGGGAAGAAGGCCUUCGGGUUGUAAACCGCUUUUGUCAGGGAAGAAACGCUCUGGACUAAUACUCUGGGGUAAUGACGGUACCUGAAGAAUAAGCACCGGCUAACUACGUGCCAGCCGCCGCGGUAA
rnacentral:rRNA from 1 species